rnacentral:rRNA from 1 species
AUUGAACGCUGGCGGAAUGCUUUACACAUGCAAGUCGAACGGCAGCACGGACUUCGGUCUGGUGGCGAGUGGCGAACGGGUGAGUAAUACAUCGGAACGUGCCCAAUCGCGGGGGAUAACGUAGCGAAAGCUACGCUAAUACCGCAUACGAUCUAAGGAUGAAAGCGGGGGAUCGCAAGACCUCGCGCGAUUGGAGCGGCCGAUGGCAGAUUAGGUAGUUGGUAGGGUAAAGGCCUACCAAGCCGACGAUCUGUAGCUGGUCUGAGAGGAUGAUCAGCCACACUGGGACUGAGACACGGCCCAGACUCCUACGGGAGGCAGCAGUGGGGAAUUUUGGACAAUGGACGCAAGUCUGAUCCAGCCAUUCCGCGUGCAGGAUGAAGGCCCUCGGGUUGUAAACUGCUUUUGUACAGAACGAAAAGGCUCUGGUUAAUAUCUAGGGCUCAUGACGGUACUGUAAGAAUAAGCACCGGCUAACUACGUGCCAGCCGCCGCAGUAA